GCCAGACAUGUCAACAAACAGAAGACAUACACAGUAGAUGAGAUUCCAAGACUUGAACAAUGGUGUUGGUAGUGCCCACGUCUCGUAGCUCUUCCAGCAGGCUGUGGCUUAGCGCUUCUUUUUGAUUAUAAUAAUAAUAAUCUUCCAGCAGGCCUCUCCAUAAAUGACAGAUUUAUCCAUAGUUUUUAGCCAUUAUCACUACAUACACGCACUGUUUAGGCACCUCAUCGUUGCUGCAGUGUUCAGAACCCAUGGAUCGUACCCAUAUAAGU